ensembl:rRNA 5S_rRNA 5S ribosomal RNA
GUCUGUGGCCGUACCACCCUGAACACUCUUGAUCUCGUGUGAUCUCGGAAGCCAAGCAGGGUCAGACCUGGUUAGUACUUGGAUGGGAGAUUCAGUAUUCAUUUCGACUCUGAAU